rnacentral:rRNA from 1 species
AGAAUCAACGCUGGCGGCGUGCCUAACACAUGCAAGUCGAACGAGAAAGUGGAGCAAUCCAUGAGUAAAGUGGCGACCGGGUGAGUAACACGUGACUAACCUACCCUCGAGUGGGGAAUAACCUCGGGAAACCGGGCUAAUACCGCAUAACAUCUUCGGAUCAAAUGCGUAAGCAGCUUGAGGAGGGGGUCGCGGCCGAUUAGCUAGUUGGCGGGGUAAUGGCCCACCAAGGCAAUGAUCGGUA